AUUGAACGCUGGCGGCAUGCCUUACACAUGCAAGUCGAACGGCAGCACGGGAGCAAUCCUGGUGGCGAGCGGCGAACGGGUGAGUAAUAUAUCGGAACGUGCCCAGUCGUGGGGGAUAACGUAGCGAAAGCUACGCUAAUACCGCAUACGAUCUAUGGAUGAAAGCGGGGGAUCGCAAGACCUCGCGCGAUUGGAGCGGCCGAUAUCAGAUUAGGUAGUUGGUGGGGUAAAGGCCCACCAAGCCGACGAUCUGUAGCUGGUCUGAGAGGACGACCAGCCACACUGGGACUGAGACACGGCCCAGACUCCUACGGGAGGCAGCAGUGGGGAAUUUUGGACAAUGGGCGCAAGCCUGAUCCAGCAAUGCCGCGUGCAGGAUGAAGGCCUUCGGGUUGUAAACUGCUUUUGUACGGAGCGAAAAGGCUUCCACUAAUACUGGGGGCUCAUGACGGUACCGUAAGAAUAAGCACCGGCUAACUACGUGCCAGCAGCCGCAGUAA
rnacentral:rRNA from 1 species